rnacentral:rRNA from 1 species
UCGAUUUGGAGUUUGUUGCCUAGAGUGAUGGGCUCCGAAGCUAACGCGAUAAAUCGACCGCCUGGGGAGUACGGCCGCAAGGUUAAAACUCAAAUGAAUUGACGGGGGCCCGCACAAGCGGUGGAGCAUGUGGUUUAAUUCGAUGCAACGCGAAGAACCUUACCUGGUCUUGACAUCCACAGAAUCUUUCAGAGAUGAGGGAGUGCCUUCGGGAACUGUGAGACAGGUGCUGCAUGGCUGUCGUCAGCUCGUGUUGUGAAAUGUUGGGUUAAGUCCCGCAACGAGCGCAACCCUUAUCCUUUGUUGCCAGCGAUUAGGUCGGGAACUCAAAGGAGACUGCCGUUGAUAAAACGGAGGAAGGUGGGGACGACGUCAAGUCAUCAUGGCCCUUACGACCAGGGCUACACACGUGCUACAAUGGCGUAUACAAAGGGAAGCGAAGGUGCGAGCUGGAGCGGACCUCCUAAAGUACGUCUAAGUCCGGAUUGGAGUCUGCAACUCGACUCCAUGAAGUCGGAAUCGCUAGUAAUCGUGAAUCAGGAUGUCACGGUGAAUACGUUCCCGGGCCU